CGCAAUGGGCGAAAGCCUGACGGAGCGACGCCGCGUGAUGGAUGACGUGCUUCGGUAUGUAAACAUCUUUUAUCGGGGACGAAGUUUAUUGACGGUACCCGAUGAAUAAGGGGCUCCUAACUCUGUGCCAGCAGGAGCGGUAAUACAGAGGCCCCAGGCAUUAUCCGGAAUCACUGGGCGUAAAGGGUGUGUAGGCGGUUGUAUUAGUCUUUCGUGAAAGGCUUUUGGCUUAACCAAGAGAGCGCGGGAGAAACGGUACAGCUGCGAGGACGCGAGAGGUAGAGGGAACUCAUGGUGUAGGGGUGAAAUCCGUUGAUAUCAUGGGGAACACCAAAUGCGAAGGCACUCUACUGGCGCGCUCCUGACGCUGAAACACGAAAGCGU
rnacentral:rRNA from 1 species